UUACGCAACGGACCGCGCGAUGACAGUU
rnacentral:sRNA from 1 species